UACAGGGGGGGCAAGCGUUGUUCGGAAUUACUGGGCGUAAAGGGCUCGUAGGUGGCCAACUAAGUCAGACGUGAAAUCCCUCGGCUUAACCGGGGAACUGCGUCCGAUACUGGAGGGCUUGAGUGUGGGAGAGGGAUGCGGAAUUCCAGGUGUAGCGGUGAAAUGCGCGGAUAUCGGGAGGAACACCUAUGGCGAAGGCAGCUCGCUGGGACGUUACUGACGCUGAGACGCGAAAGCGUGGGGAGCAAACAGG
rnacentral:rRNA from 1 species